rnacentral:lncRNA from 1 species
CCCAGCCUUUGUUUCAUUCUGACUCUUUGCAUGCUUGUUUGUGGGGUUGUAUGGCCUUAACAUUUAGGGUCGGAAGCUUUUAGGCUAUUCAACAUCUUUCAUCUAGGCGUGUUACUCAACCUGCCUGCCGGUCGGUUUUUGUGGGUUCCAAGAUUGUGUUUGCUAUUAUGAAAGGGAACGAUAUCAAGCCAUAAGGCAUGCCUCGCCUAUGAAUGUGUUAUUAAUUUGUUUUGCCCGUAGGAAAAAUACUAAGCCGUAAUGAAUGCUUUGU